rnacentral:misc_RNA from 1 species
GGAAAAUAUGAUCUCUCGCAAUGUAGGUUCAUGGCCAUUUAGAAGAUUUCCCAUGCUUAAGACUUUCCUCCAUGAUUGAUUCACAGUAGGUGGAGUGAACAUGCUUGCAACAACUUCUCUCUCUUGUCGCCUAACUUCUUGUUUCUUAUCGAAAUCCUUCUUCUCAUCACCACCAAUUGAUACUGUUCCCAUUUUUGGUAGAUAGAAGUUAUAGUAGUCAUUGAAAAUGGAUUCUGAUAGACGCGGUGCUUGCAAGAACUUCUGAUGAAGAGAUGCAGCGAGUAUUAUCAAACUCUCAACAUGUCCAAAAAUUGCACAGAGUCGCUUCAGGUCUUCAAUAUCUUCAGU